UACGUAGGGGGCGAGCGUUAUCCGGAAUUAUUGGGCGUAAAGAGUGCGUAGGUGGUCUUGUAAGCGUGGGGUGAAAGGCAGUGGCUUAACCAUUGUUAGCCUUGCGAACUGUGAGACUUGAGUGCAGGAGAGGAAAGUGGAAUUCCUAGUGUAGCGGUGAAAUGCGUAGAUAUUAGGAGGAACACCAGUGGCGAAGGCGACUUUCUGGACUGUAACUGACACUGAGGCACGAAAGCGUGGGGAGCAAACAGGAUUAGAUACCCGGGUAGUCCCUGA
rnacentral:rRNA from 1 species